rnacentral:tRNA from 1 species
GGAAGAGUGGCCGAGUGGUUUAAGGCACUGGUCUUGAAAACCAGCGACGGUGUGAGCCGUCCGUGGGUUCGAAUCCCACCUCUUCCGCCA